ACAAAAGCAGUUCAGCUGCACACCUAAUUACUGUCAAGUUUUACUAGAGGAAAGAGAAAGAAAAAGAAAGAGAGAAAAGAAUGGACUAUAAAUCCCUUCACCAUCAAGUGGAUCAUCGUCGAAAUUCUCAGCGGAGGAGUUGAUGAAGCAGCCAAAAGUUCAGCUUGCUCAGGCUAAUGCUGAAAUUCCUCGAGAUAUCAGUUAUGUUUUUUUUCUUUUUUGUCCUUUUUGGAAAGAAAUUGAUUCAGUUUUGAUUAUAUCUCGCAGUGUUGCUACUUAGAAGGCUAUCUAAUAAAUCUAUGAUUAAAUUUAUCUUGAUUUUAAUGGGGGUUGCGGAAAUUGGGCAAUUGAAGUAGGGCUGUAUUUCGCAGUUGAUAAAUUUUAGUGGAUUUUGGGGUUCAGCUUUUUGAUUAGUUAGGUCUAUAAUUCAUACGAGAUAAACGAAAGAGCAACUUACUUGCAUCUUCAGAAAGGAAUAUUUUUCUUCAAAAAGUUUGAUUGGAGGGGUACGAUUACUUGAACACCAGUGAGGAAUUCAAAUAUAUGUGUAGGUUUGGCGUGACCCAGUUGAUGGAAGGGAAUCGGUAAUGGUUAUGCAGUCUGGGACAAAGCUUUAAAGCAUGUUUGUUUGUUGAAAGGGGAAGAAGAAAACAAUUACUUGCGUAUCUAAUUUGAGUGGAAGUUUAUGUUCAAUUUUGCUUUUGGGUUAAAUGAAAAUAGCAUUCUACUGCCGGCUGAGAUUAUCCUUUGUUUUCGUGUACUCUUUAUCUAGAUUUGGUUCUGUUGUAAAUUUGCUGGACACCAUCACAGUUUCUGAAAAUCUAGUAAUAAGCUAGAUCUAGCCAGGUUAGAUUAUGUGAGUUCAAAGCUCCGAAUAUAACGAGCAUUUACGAGAGACUGGCUUAGCGUUCAAAUACAUUCAGUUAUCUGUAUAAGGUGAUGAUAUGCCUCAGCUAGUGAUUUGCCCACUUGGCUCCUUCCAUGUUUGCUAAGGUUGUCCAUAACCUUUAGUGCAUGAUUAUCAUUGUUUGUAAAUGAAGGCGUUUAUUAUAAGAAUUUCUUGCUUUUUUGUUUAUCUUUUCUUU